GUGAGGAAUAUUGCGCAAUGGAGGCAACUCUGACGCAGCCAUGCCGCGUGCAGGAAGAAGGCGCUACGCGUUGUAAACUGCUUUUAACCGGGAAGAAACCCCAGGACGUGUCCUGGGUUGACGGUACCGGAGGAAUAAGCACCGGCUAACUUCGUGCCAGCAGCCGCGGUAAUACGAAGGGUGCAAGCGUUAUCCGGAUUCAUUGGGUUUAAAGGGUGCGUAGGCGGAGCGUUAAGUCAGUGGUGAAAUCCUGCAGCUUAACUGUAGACUUGCCAUUGAUACUGGCGCUCUUGAGUGCGCUUGAAGUGGGCGGAAUGUGCCGUGUAGCGGUGAAAUGCUUAGAUAUGGUACAGAACACCAAUUGCGAAGGCAGCUCACUAAGGCGAUACUGACGCUGAGGCACGAAAGCGUGGGGAUCGAACAGGAUUAGAUACCCCUGUAGUCC
rnacentral:rRNA from 1 species